GAGAGAGAGAGAGAGAGAGAGAGAGAGAGAGAGAGAGAGAGAGAGAGAGAGACACGUUUCAUAUAGAACAAAAGAGAAUGAAUAGUGAAAAUAAUUUUUUUUUUAUUAUUAUUUCUUUUGGCGCGGACGGCCGGCGACUGCAAAUGGCAAGUCUUCUUUUAACGCAGCGUGCAAUUUCCCUUCCCUAAUGCGGAGGAAACGUGUGGGAAAGGUAGAGGAGAAGUUCAGGUGUGGAGAGAGUGAAGGCGUUGGAGGAUAUUAGCAGAUUCUUAAAAGUGUCUGCGUAUCAUGUGAGAGAGAGAGAGAGAGAGAGAGAGGAAGAGUGUGUGUGUGUGUGUGUGUGUGUGUGUGUGUGUGUGUGUGUGUGUGUGUGUGUGUGUGUGUGUGUGUGUGUGUGUGUGUGUGUGUGUGUGUCCUUUAUAAAAACCUGCCCAAGACGUCUUCGCUUUCAACAAAGAGCCCACUGCCUCUUGCUAUGUAAAUUCCGCCCCCUUUUCAGUCCUACUCAGCCUUACCGACAUAGAUGAGACACGUUACAAGCUUCCCUACACACACACACACACACACACACACACACACACACACACACACACACACACACACACACUUGCCACUUUAUCAUCUAUUCUUAUUAUAUAAAUAAAAUGAAGGGGAAAAGAUAUUAUAAUAUAUAAGAAAAAAAAUUGUAUCUAUGUAAAAGAUAUCUAUAUAUGUUACUGUGUAUAAUUAAAUGUAAGUGCCAGCACAUAUUACUGUAUCUGCAACGCUGCGUGUAUAUAGACAUAGUAUUGGGUUAGUGACAGCACUUACUUCAUGGUGCCAACAACAAAACAACAACCACAAUAGCCACCACCACCACCAUCACCGUCAUCUUCACAACAUUGCAAAGAGGUGACUGAUUGAUUUCAUUUAAGGUCCGCAACAUUAACAAAGGAAACGGAAGAGCCUAGAGAGAAAAUAAAAGAUGGUGAAUUCGUGAGAUGUUGUAAAAGAAGAUUUGGGUGAAUACUUAAAAAGAGAAAGAAAAUUCGUGAGUGGAUGGUAAAGAAAACGCAUUUCGUAAGAGUGAAGAAAGAAAAUAAGAAAUCGAAUGUCAGUGCAGGAAAUGGCGAUGCUUUCCUCGUGAGUGUCAAGUCACGGAAGAGAGAGAGAGAGAGAGAGAGAGAGAGAGAGAGAGAGAGAGAGAGAGAGAGAGAGAGAGAGAGAGAGAGAGAGAGAGAUUCAGUUCUCCAUCAGAUCAGGAUAAAAGUGAAUACGAUCCCCAACACAAAGUUUAAUGUUGUAGUUGAUGUGUGUGAGCAAGUAAUGGAAGCAUUUCAUUUUGGAUGGAGCAGCGGUUUAGCCCAGCUUGCCCCACGUUCUGUCACCAACUAGCCUGACAUCCAACACCCAAGGAACGAAGAGGAAGGAAAAAAAAAAUCAAUAAAAAAAAAAUCAUCACUGAGAUUUUACGCUUUCUAGUCUGUCUUAUUGAAAGAGGGAGACAAAAAACUGUAACAUGAUAAAUAAAGCUGAAAAGAGAGAGAGAGAGAGAGAGAGAGAGAGAGAGAGAGAGAGAGAGAGAGAGAGAGAGAGAGAGAGAGAGAGAGAGAGAGAGAGAGAGAGAAAACGCCUGUUGUAUAUGGGCGGCGCCGUAUCUACCAGUCGGUUCACGUUCAAACAUGAGCUCUGAAGGGAGAGCAGGGGGUGGUACGGCAGUACAGUCCAGAGGUGCCGGAUGCAGGGAAAUUUCUUUGUUUUAAAGAAAUUUUGACUAUGACAGGGAAGAAAAAUUGCUAAAAAG
rnacentral:lncRNA from 1 species